rnacentral:misc_RNA from 1 species
UUCCAUCCGCCCCAUUGAGUACACCGACAGAAGUAUCUCCAUGCCCGGCCGGAUACCCGCACCACUUGGGAGUCUCUCCGACCGAACUACACAUUUCCUCUCCACUGGGACAGGUGGAAACAGCCUCAAAGUUUCACAUAGGGCUGCAUGCAAGUAAACCAGUUUCCCCAACUCCGUAGUAGAACCAGACAUGAAACAACAAUCCUUCAAUUCCUCGACCACUCUCCUUUCAACACACGGAUUCUUUGCCAGCAGCCAGAAAAACCACGCCAGUGCUGUGCCAGUAGUGUCCCUCCCUGCUAGCAUGAGACUCAAGGUCGUGUCUCGAAAGACCUUAUCGUUAUCACUCGAAUUAUCAUCCAUAUACGAUGAUAACAGAUCUGGUUCGGUGAUGUUCAAUGCCCGCCGUUUUGAUAUUGUCUUGGCUAUGAAGCCGUCGAUUACUUCCCGAGCCCUAGCAAGUUUCUUCUCCUCUCCAACCUCAAGGAACCUCAGCAGCUUCCACCAGAAAGUGGGCACCAUGUGGCGGACAAACACCGCCUCCAUCGCAUCAUCCAUCGCUUUGGCAAAUCCGACCGAUGGGAAACUGACAGCGAGGAAGCCUGG